GACGAACGCUGGCGGCGUGCUUAACACAUGCAAGUCGAGCGGUAAGGCCCUUUCGGGGGUACACGAGCGGCGAACGGGUGAGUAACACGUGGGUGACCUGCCCUCAGCUCUGGGAUAAGCCUGGGAAACCGGGUCUAAUACCGGAUAUGACUCCAUGACGCAUGUUGUGGGGUGGAAAGCCUUGUGCGGCUGAGGAUGGGCCCGCGGCCUAUCAGCUUGUUAGUGGGGUGAUGGCCUACCAAGGCGACGACGGGUAGCCGGCCUGAGAGGGCGACCGGCCACACUGGGACUGAGACACGGCCCAGACUCCUACGGGAGGCAGCAGUGGGGAAUCUUGCGCAAUGGGCGAAAGCCUGACGCAGCGACGCCGCGUGAGGGAUGACGGCCUGGU
rnacentral:rRNA from 1 species